CCUGACUGGAGCUCAGAAUAUCAGGCUCGAGCAGCCUUCUGAAUAGUUGCCAAAAAGCCAAUGCAUAAGAGGACAUCGGUUGCUUCUUGGGUCAUCAUGAGAGCCUUAUAGCUUUUCAAAUGAUCGAUCGGAUUGGUGGAGCCGUCAUAUGGCUCCAUCUGUGGUAUUUUGAAUCGAAACAAAAUUGGUUCGUCUAAGAUGCACUGAG
rnacentral:lncRNA from 1 species